rnacentral:rRNA from 1 species
AUGCCGGUCACAAGCAAGCGGCCACGGAUUUCACUUUGGACGUCUAAAAUUGUAGCAGAAUAUGAAAGGCGGGACUGCACAAGCAGCGAUAAAUUGCUUUACGGCAGGCUCCCGACAAAGCGUGUCUCGGAAACACCCUUCGGUCAAAUCAACAGACAGCCAAAAGUCACACUAGGUGCCUCGUAUGAUGAACUCCUGCAGUUCACCCUCUCAAUUGUUCCAGAGGAAAACCACCAGAUGGUUUUAGACGAGCUUCCAAAGAUUAUGCAUAGCAUGCAGAGCGAGCUUUUUGAUUCAAUGCAAAAUGUACUCGCCAAGAACUUUAUGAACCUGCUGAAACUGAUGUCGUCAAUGCAUUCUUCAUCNNNNNNNNNNCGGAAUGGGACAAACAAGCAUGUGCCAAUGCCAGGGUACCCAACGUUGAAAGCCUACUUCGAAUAA